rnacentral:lncRNA from 1 species
GUAAGUUUCACAGUGCUGAGGUGGAAAAUGAAAACAAAAAAAUACAACUUAUACUUGAAAGAAGCCAAAACGGGUUAUUCUUGUAUUUUUAGAGACCUGACUCUAAACCUAACACCCGAACUCUCCCAUUGCAGCCGUUGCGAAGUCGCCCUCACCAAAUCUCCACGCGACUGUGGACCUUAUCUCCGGCCGGGAAAACACCGGCAUUACUCCUCGAGAUCUCUGUCCGAUUCUUGUUAAGAACACUACCCUCCAAUUGCGGGGAUUUUCGAGGCGACCACUGAAGUAUGCCCAGCUACCGCCCAUUGUUACACUGCAUCCGUUGGCAAUAGACGACCAGUGGAAUACCUCCUUUGUGUUAGGUAAGUAAAAAGAAGACAAAACAUGUAAUUUAAAAAGAAGACAAAAAAUGUAAUUUUCCUUUUUGUGAAUGUGUUAUAUGGUUCUAAAAUUGAUUCGGUUUAGCCUUUUCUGUGUGUGAGAUUUUGUGUUGUCUUUGUGUUAUACUAUGAGUCCAUAUAUGUGAGAACGAAGAUGGGUGAAGAGUUGCACUUGCGAUAUGUUUCUAGGCAAUCGAAGUGUCUGGCAAUAAGAUAACCAGGUUUUUUCCAAAUUAAACUCGUAAAUUCCAGUGAUUGUUUUGACAUUUCGAAAAUUCUGGGUUGUGAGAAUAUUGAAAGUGGCUAUUCCAAUGAUUUUUGUACUAGCUUAUUGUUUAAGUGUUGUUUGAACUUAUGAUUUUUUACACACAUAUAACGGAGGCUUGAUUUUUUCAUACAAUGUCAUUGUGAGAAAGUAAAAUAUAAUCUCACUGGAUGAUAGGCAUAGUGGAUUGAAGACUCAUUGGUUAAGUUUUGUUUGAGCUUAAAAAUAUAUGUCAGUUGAACUUUAAUGGUAGAAUUCUUCUGUAAUUUGAAUUAGACAUUGAAUUAGUUGCAACAUUCAUUAGUUCCUUGAUGUGGUUGAACCAGGAUACUGGGAUGGCGGGCAAGAAUAGGGGAAUUUGUCAUUGUUGUAGAAUGUCGGGACAUACGAUGUUGGAAUGCCCCAAAAAGAGAAGAUGCCCAACUACGGUGUAGGAUUCGUCAAAUGGAUGGAGGUGAAAAAGAACAAUGAGCAUAAAGGGCUAUCGUUUCAUUGUUAUACCCGCUAUUGCAAAUUCUUCAAAUGGUGUAAAAAUAAACCCAAUGAAAAAUGUAUAGUGCAUGACGAUGGGGACUCAAGUGGCAUUACAAACGAAACUGAGCAUGUGGAUGAUUUGUCGCAUAUGUUGAAAUCCGCUCGCUAAUCUAACGGAUGAGAAGGAUUUGGAGAUUUCCCUGAACAUAAAGAUGUGCAAGGGGACACGAGUUUCGGAAGAUGAGAAGGACUUGGAAUGUGAAACUUGAGUCGUUGUAUUAGUGUGUAGUACGGCAUGUGUUUAUGUAGCGUAAUGUAGUGGCAACGCAAUUCCAGUUUGUAGUAGUUUAGAGCAUGUGGCAAUGUUGUCUUCUUUCAACUUUCGAACUUCAAAUUAUGAAUGUGCCAAUGUAGUCUUAUUCCAGUUGGUAAGUGUGGAAUUAUGAAAUGAGCUUCAUUGUUAUAGUUACCUCGUGUUUUUGUUGGUGAACACAAAAAAAUGGCAAUUUUAAAUGAUUU